rnacentral:rRNA from 1 species
GACGAACGCUGGCGGCGUGCUUAACACAUGCAAGUCGAACGGUGAAGGGAUCAGCUUGCUGGUUCUGGAUGAGUGGCGAACGGGUGAGUAACACGUGAGUAACCUGCCCCCUUCUUCUGGAUAACCGCAUGAAAGUGUGGCUAAUACGGGAUAUUCUGCGCCUGCUGCAUGGUGGGUGUGGGAAAGAUAUUGUUUCGGUGGGGGAUGGGCUCGCGGCCUAUCAGCUUGUUGGUGGGGUGAUGGCCUACCAAGGCGGUGACGGGUAGCCGGCCUGAGAGGGUGGACGGUCACACUGGGACUGAGACACGGCCCAGACUCCUACGGGAGGCAGCAGUGGGGGAGAUUGCACAAGGGGCGCAAGCCUGAUGCAGCGACGCCGCGUGAGGGAUGGAGGCCUUCGGGGUGUGAACCUCUUUCGGCAGUGAAGCAGGCCUGUCCCUUGUGGGUGGGUUGACGGUAGCUGGAUAAGAAGCGCCGGCUAACUACGUG